UCCAGACCAUCCUAACUAAAAACUAAUUUUCUCAAGGAAAAUGAUUAGCACUGUCUUUGAAACAUCAAACAGGUUUUUUCUUUACAAAUCUGUCCACAGUGAAAGGGAAAGGAUAAUUUUUUACCGAUUUUCCUAAAGACAGAGGGUGACAAUAACAGUGCAGAAGGUGGGUUACUUACUGCUUGCUUAUAAAUACAGCACAGUCACAUCAUACACGCAUUUAACUUGCGCGAAUUCAACUAUAUGCGGGGUGGGAGGGGGGGCAGGGCUUGAGUUUGCGGCGGCGGUGGGAGUUUUUGGCAGUGUGGUGGUAGCCCGGCAGGACGGAGCCAUCCCCACCACCACCCCGCACUGCGCUGCUGCCACCAGCCGCACGGCUCCAAGCACGACUCCACGGCAGCAGCAGGAGGUUUUGGAGGCAGAGGCAGUCGCCUAUACAUGAUUUUUGCCUUAUGCAGUGACCUCAGAACCUAACCCCCGCGUAAGAUGUGACAUGCCUGUAUUACACACCUUUCAAGCUCCCAAACAGUACUGUGCACUUUUACAAUUUGUCAGAGCAGCAAGGCCAAACAAAAUUAUGUCAACAUAACCUGUUGGAAGGUUAUGCUAAUAAAAUGAGAAAAAGAGAUGAAGACUAAGAGAAAGGAAAAAAGAAGGUAAGAAUGGAGCAGUCUCCUUUGAGCAGUCUCAACAACUUUUUUUCAAAUGUAUCUUGAAAUGGGAUCCAAAUAUUUUCAAUACAAAUAAUACAUUUCUACCUUGAUAAGUGGCUAACUUGGAAAGGUCUGAACAUGACUGCUUUAUUCUAGGAAUGAACCUACUCUUCCAUUUUUGUGAAAUCAUGUAUUUGGUGAUCACAGCAGACCUUAAGAAUUAAAGUCUUUGUGGCAGAGCUAAACCUGCCUUAACAGGAAAGUAUCCUAUGAUAUUAUUUACAGCAGUAGCUUACCUGUUGAAGUCAAGCAUUACUUUAACUCUUGUGUUAACCUCUUUCCGCAGCUGCCUGCUUGCAUCAGGGUCCCUUUUUUAUAUUAUGGCAACAACAAAUGCCAGAGCAGGAUAAGGUCUUUAUCUUGUGCAGACUCUACCAAGUCCAACAUGGUAAUAAAAUAUCUUGCUGUACCAAAUGUAGUCCCACAUCAACAGAGAUACUCUUAAUAUUAUGCUAUAUGCUGUCCCAUUGGGAUUAUUUUUAAUGUUGUGAAACAUUUCUUUCCAUGCUUUCAAAAAGAAUUCCAGACUAAUGGAAUUUUUCAUUAACAAGAAUGAAAGGACAGGAGCCUAGAGAGCUCAUGGGAGUUUAUGAUAUAUUUCUGUGCAGGAUAUUGUUAACAUAAAGGCUUUGUUAAAACUUUACAUUUUAAAUGCUUUAACUGUUUCCCCUACUUUUUGUUUCUUCAGUAAAAGGGUUGAAAAGAUUCAAGAAGUACUUAUGACAAUGGGAAAAAGCCAACUAUGACAAGACACAAAACUUCAGAGCACACUUAACUUUAUGUUGCAGCAAUGAAGAUUGGUUUCAUUAACAUCUUGUUGCUUACCAGGCCUGAAUAAUCACCAGGAAGUGGAGAUAAUCUAUGCCUAGAAAAGCAUCAAAGCAUCACAAAUUAAAAGGACAUAAGGACUUCUUUGGGAGAAAGCCAUUUUGCCUGUACAUGUCCUUCAUAAUGACUACCAAUGAGAUAAAGUACCUUCAACUCUGGUUGAUUUCAACAGUAGAGGAUGUUCAACCCUCAAGCAAAAGACGUAAUUUGCAUCAUCACAGAUCCUCACAGGA